rnacentral:rRNA from 1 species
GACAGAGGGUGCAAACGUUGUUCGGAAUUACUGGGCGUAAAGGGCGCGUAGGCGGGAUGGCAAGUCGGUCGUGAAAUCCCUCGGCUCAACUGAGGAGCGUCGAUCGAAACUGCCGUUCUUGAGGGUUGCAGAGGAGACUGGAAUUCCCGGUGUAGCGGUGAAAUGCGUAGAUAUCUGGAGGAAUACCGGUGGCGAAGGCGGCAUCCUGGACCGGCAUUGACGCUGAGGAGCGAAAGCUAGGGGAGCAAACGGG